rnacentral:rRNA from 1 species
CAAACGACUCUCGGCAACGGAUAUCUUGGCUCACGCAUCGAUGAAGAACGUAGCAAAAUGCGAUACUUGGUGUGAAUUGCAGAAUCCCGUGAACCAUCGAGUUUUUGAACGCAAGUUGCGCCCAAAGCCUUUCGGUCGAGGGCACGUCUGCCUGGGCGUCACAC